rnacentral:rRNA from 1 species
UACGUAGGCAGCGAGCGUUGUUCGGAGUUACUGGGCGUAAAGGGUGUGUAGGCGGUUCUUUAAGUUUGGUGUGAAAUCUCCCGCUUAACCGGGAGGGUGCGCCGAAUACUGAGGGACUAGAGUACGGGAGAGGAAAGUGGAAUUCCUGGUGUAGCGGUGAAAUGCGUAGAUAUCAGGAGGAAUACCGAUGGCGAAGGCAGGUCUCUGGGCUGACACUGACGCUCAUGCACGAAAGCGUGGGGAGCAAACAGG